rnacentral:rRNA from 1 species
GGCUCAGGAUGAACGCUAGCGGGAGGCUUAACACAUGCAAGUCGAGGGGCAGCACGAGGUAGCAAUACUUUGGUGGCGACCGGCGCACGGGUGAGUAACGCGUAUGCAACCUUCCUUUUACAGGAGGAUAGCUUCCGGAAACGGAAAUUAAUACUCCAUACAAUUACGAAGUGGCAUCACUUUCAGAUUAAAGCUGAGGCGGUAAAAGAUGGGCAUGCGUAACAUUAGCUUGUUGGUGAGGUAAGGGCUCACCAAGGCGACGAUGUUUAGGGGUCCUGAGAGGGUUAUCCCCCACACUGGUACUGAGACACGGACCAGACUCCUACGGGAGGCAGCAGUGAGGAAUAUUGGUCAAUGGGCGCAAGCCUGAACCAGCCAUCCCGCGUGCAGGAAGACGGCCCUAUGGGUUGUAAACUGCUUUUCUGAGGGAAGAAUAACGCUGAUUCGUUCAGUGGACGACGGUACCUCAGGAAUAAGCAUCGGCUAACUCCGUGCCAGCAGCCGCGGUAAUACGGAGGAUGCAAGCGUUAUCCGGAUUCAUUGGGUUUAAAGGGUGCGUAGGCGGACUGGUAAGUCAGUGGUGAAAUCCUGCAGCUUAACUGUGGAAUUGCCAUUGAAACUGUCAGUCUUGAGUCAGGUUGAGGUAGGCGGAAUGUGUAAUGUAGCGGUGAAAUGCAUAGAUAUUACACAGAACACCGAUUGCGUAGGCAGCUUACUGGACCUGCACUGACGCUGAGGCACGAAAGCGUGGGGAUCAAACAGGAUUAGAUACCCUGGUAGUCCACGCCGUAAACUAUGAUUACUCGUUGUUGGCCAUACAUCGUCAGCGACCAAGCAGAAAGCGGAUAAGUAAUCACACACUGGGGAGU